GGCUGUUUGGCCGAGUGGUUAAGGCGACAGACUUGAAUUUCCAUGUUCAGAUAUCUGUUGGGUUCGCCCGCAGAGGUUCGAUCCCUCUAGCAGCCG